GCCGAAACCAAGAAGGAAGAAAGCCAUGAAAGCUUAGUUAAGUUUCGGCCAUCUUCAAGCUUAAAUUCAAGGUUAAAUUGAAUAGAAUGGUGUUUAAACAAGCUUAAUUUGAAUAUGUUUAAAUCAAGAAUUAAAGAAAUCUAUUUUGGAUCGGGGAAAGACAAAGGUGGUCGAGUAGCUAAUUUAAUAGUCGACGACAUCCGAGAUUUUGGAAGUGGUUACGAGCUCGGGGAUCGUCAGCAAGACUUAUCACACUAUCGACAGUUUCCUUCGGUACUUUACUAAGUUGAUCUUAAGUAUAUGGCAUGUAUAGCAUAGUUAAUAUGUUGAUUUUAGAACUAAUGUGUAUGUGUAACUAAUAGCCAUGUGAAAAUGG